rnacentral:pre_miRNA from 1 species
GUGAGGAUGAGAAUGAGAGAGAGAGAAUGAGAGGGGAUGAUGGGAGGGAGAAGUAACAAAAGUGAAAGCAAAAACUUGAUGAAAACAAUUUCAAAGAGAGUUUUAGUUUUUAGCUCUUCCCUCCCAUCCUCCCCUCUAAAUCUCAUAUUAACUCUCAUUUUCACUUACUUU